AAACCACCUUCGGGUGGUGGACAGUGGCGCACGGGUGAGUAACGCGUGGGAACGUACCUUUUAGUACGGAACAACCAUUAGAAAUGAUGGCUAAUACCGUAUAGUCCCUCCGGGGUAAAGAUUUAUCGCUAAAAGAUCGGCCCGCGUCCAAUUAGCUAGUUGGUAAGGUAAUGGCUUACCAAGGCGACGAUUGGUAGCUGGUUUGAGAGGAUGAUCAGCCACACUGGAACUGAGACACGGUCCAGACUCCUACGGGAGGCAGCAGUGGGGAAUAUUGCGCAAUGGAGGAAACUCUGACGCAGCCAUGCCGCGUGAGUGAAGAAGGCCUUCGGGUUGUAAAGCUCUUUUACCUGUGAUGAUAAUGACAGUAGCAGGAGAAAAAGCUCCGGCUAACUUCGUGCCAGCAGCCGCGGUAAUACGAAGGGAGCGAGCGUUGUUCGGAAUUACUGGGCGUAAAGCGUGCGUAGGCGGUUUAGUAAGUUAGAAGUGAAAGCCCUGGGCUCAACCUAGGAAUUGCUUUUAAAACUACUAAACUAGAAUCUCGGAGGGGAUGGUGGAAUUUCCAGUGUAGAGGUGAAAUUCGUAGAUAUUGGAAGGAACACCAGUGGCGAAGGCGACCAUCUGGACGGGAACUGACGCUGAGGUACGAAAGCGUGGGGAGCAAACAGGAUUAGAUACCCUGGUAGUCCACGCCGUAAACGAUGUAUGCUAGUUGUUGGAAUCCAUAGGGUUUCAGUGACGCAGCUAACGCGAUAAGCAUACCGCCUGGGGAGUACGAUCGCAAGAUUAAAACUCAAAGGAAUUGACGGGGACCCGCACAAGCGGUGGAGCAUGUUGUUUAAUUCGAAGCAACGCGAAGAACCUUACCUACACUUGACAUACUCGUCGGGAUUUCCAGAGAUGGAUUUCUUCGGUUCGGCCGGACGAGAUACAGGUGCUGCAUGGCUGUCGUCAGCUCGUGUCGUGAGAUGUUAGGUUAAGUCCUGCAACGAGCGCAACCCUUAUCGUAUGUUGCCAUCAUUAAGUUGGGAACUCAUGCGAGACUGCCGGUGUUAAGCCGGAGGAAGGUGGGGACGACGUCAAGUCAUCAUGGCCCUUACGUGUAGGGCUACAAACGUGCUACAAUGGCUACUACAGUGGGCAGCAAACCGGCGACGGUGAGCGAAUCCCCAAAAGUAGUCUCAGUUCGGAUUGUUCUCUGCAACUCGAGAACAUGAAGUCGGAAUCGCUAGUAAUCGUGGAUCAGCAUGCCACGGUGAAUACGUUCCCGGGUCUUGUACACACCGCCCGUCACAUCAUGGGAGUUGAUUCUGCCCGAAGAUGGUGCGCUAACCUCUAGGA
rnacentral:rRNA from 1 species